UGGGGUUUAGGCUCAGUGGUGGAGCGCUUACCUAGCAUGUGUGAGGUGCUGGGUUCAAAUCUCAACACCACAU
rnacentral:tRNA from 1 species